GACGAACGCUGGCGGCGUGCCUAAUACAUGCAAGUCGAACGCAGUGGGGACGGGUGAGUAACACGUGGGUAACCUCCCCUCAGAGGGGAUAACACUUGGACACAGGUGCUAAACCGAUACUGAUGGAUGCACCCGCGGUGCAUUAGCUAGUUGGUGAGGUAACGGCUCACCAAGGCCACGAUGCAUAGCCGGACUGAGAGGGUGAUCGGCCACACUGGGACUGAGACACGGCCCAGACUCCUACGGGAGGCAGCAGUAGGGAAUAUUCGGCAAUGGACGAAAGGCUGAACGAGCAAUGCCGCGUGAGUGAAGAAGGUUUUCGGAUCGUAAAACUCUGUUGGUAGAGAAGCGGUAUCUAACCAGAAAGCCACGGCUAACUACGUGCCAGCAGCCGCGGUAAUAC
rnacentral:rRNA from 1 species